rnacentral:rRNA from 1 species
AUGGCCGUGGUCGUCGUGGAUGUCCUGCGCUGGUUCCCCGGAGGCGAGGCCAUCUUCAGGGCCAAUGAAGCCUCGCUCUCCGCCGCCACCGGCCACUACGACGGCGAGGACCGCAUCAGCGCCCUCCACGACGACCUCCUCCGGGACAUCGUGUCCCGCCUCCCCGCCAAGGACGCCGCCCGCACCGCCGCGCUCGCCUCCCGCUGGCGCCAUCUCUGGCGCUCCACGCCGCUCGUCUUCCACGACCUCCACCUCCUUCCGUCCAGCGACCCCUGGCACAUCGCCGCCGUCGACCGCGUCCUCGCCGGCCACCCGGGCCCCUUCUCCACCGUCAGCAUCUGCUACUGCAACUUCGGGUGCCACGACCGCGAGCUCGCCGAGUGGCCGCGCCUCCUCGCCGCCAAGGGUGUCCGGGACCUCGUCCUCGUCAACAUGCACGCCGACAUCGAACGCGUCCCCGCCAUCCCCGAUUUCCCCGCCGACGUCCUCCGAUGCGCCUCGCUCCGCCGCCUCUUCCUGGGGUUCUGGAAAUUCCCCAUCACCGGCAUCGUCCCACCCGCCGGCGUCGGCAGCGCCGCUGACGGGUUCCCACACCUCCAGGAGCUCAGCUUGUUCGGCAGCGGCAUGCCCAACAGCCGCGACCUCGACCACCUGCUCGCCCGCAGCCCCGUUCUCGACACCCUCGCCAUCGUAUUCAGCAUGAUGUUCGAGCGCGUCCACCUCCGCAGCCAGAGCCUCAAGUGCGUGCUCCUCCGGCGUUGCUUAGUGGAGGAGGUCGCCGUCUUGAACUCCCCGCUCCUGGAGCGCCUCGUUAUGUGGAAACUCGUCGUCAGUGAAGACGAUUCGGUGGCUGUGACGGUCAAGAUUGCUGCUGCGCCCAAGCUGCGGGUGCUCGGCUACCUAGAGCCAAGAAUUCACCAGCUGCAGAUUGGCGACAAUGUCAUCAAGCCUGACACGAAGGUGAGCCCAAGCACCAUGGUUCCGAGUGUCAAGAUUCUGGCCUUGAAGGUGAACUUUGGUGUCUUUGAGGAGGUCAGCAUGCUGGCCAGCUUCCUCAGAUGCUUCCCCAACGUCGAAACGCUGCACAUCGAGUCGGUCAUAACCGAUGAACCCACUGGAAGGCACCAUGCCAGGUUCUGGCGAGAGCUCCGUCCUAUCAAAUGCCUGAAGUCGCAUGUCAAGAAGAUGAUGAUCCAUGAGUUCCGUGGGGAGCAAAGCGAAAUCAACUUCCUGAAGUUCGUCGCCGGGAGUGCAGAGAAGCUGGGGACUUUGCUUCUGGCGAUUACUGAAGAAAUGUUUGCUUCGGCGGAUGAGGUGUGUAAGGUGAUGAUCAAAGUGGCGGCUCUGUCGCGUAUGCCAUGGGCCUGCAAGGGCAGUACACAGGUGGCGGGGCCUAAAGUGGAUGGCUGGAGCUUCCGCGAAGCAUCUGAUCUCUCUGUUAACGACCCUUUCGAGUGA